UAAACAUGUAGGCAUUCACAUUUAUUUCUUUAUCUGUCUCUGUCCUCUCACUUUCAUAUCUCAAGAUCAGAGGUCUCCCUCCUCCCCUUCCCCCUAAUUCAGCGUCACCGCUACAUUUUGUCAGAGUCAGCAGCUAAAACGGAUGAUUUAAAAAAAAGGAGGAGAAAAAAGAAAGUAUUGAUUAGCUUUCAAAGCUCCAUGUGGGCCACUCUUAUCGAUUAGGAGAGCUGAGCUGCUGGCCUCCUCUCUUUCUUUCUUUCUCUCUCCCUCACCCUCUUUCUCUCCCUCUGGGGUCUUUGUUCAGGGAGUGAGUGAUAUAAUGGUUCUUUGAGGAGUAUGUAGAGUGGUGAUGGGGUGGGGUGGAGGGGGUGCUGUCUGUGGCAUCUGGGAAGAGGGGGAGGCAGAGAGCGAGAGAAAGAGUGAGAGAUUUCACAGAGGAGAGCAUGCGGCCCACGGCAGGAGAGGGAUUUGCGGCGAUAUGUGGCACGUGGCUGGUCGAGGGCCGGACAGCGAUGGGCACACGCUGGCCGGCAGAGCUCUCUCGGAUCACAGACAUCCUGCCAGGACAAGCUAAUCCCUAGCUCAUCCCUUCUUUAGGUCUUGGGCCUCCCCGCCACGCUAUACGUGAUUUCACGGCAGCGUUUCUUUCUAGGAAAGCUGCAAGCUAAAGGGAUAAAACCGGCCCCCAAGCGACAACUGAAUCUCACUGUUGCGGACAUCUUUUCUGUCGUUUCUUCUUUUUUUCCCCUCCUGAUUUUCUCUGUCUUCAGGUCUUUUGCUGUCUAGCUUCUUUCUAGAACACUGGCUCUCAGACUUUUUCAGGCAGCAGAUCAUUUCAGCAGUGAAAGAAAAAGUACAGACUGCCUGACUCCCAAAAUCUGGAGCAAACUACUGUCUACCUCAAAACAAUGACUUAAAGUUUUAAAUACAAAUUCCUUUUUACCUUAUAUCUUGAAAUAGCUACACUUUCAUAAUUCAGAAUUUGUUCAAGUGCCAUUUAGUUUUUAUUUAAUUACAAUUUAGUAGAUUGAAUAAGAUUAUGUGUUCAGUUA
ensembl:lncRNA